rnacentral:lncRNA from 1 species
ACAUCUCUUUUCCGUUCAGCAGGUCCAAGUGCUGGUCUUUGAUAUUUUUCACUCCUCAGGCAUUUGUCUCCAUUGAGAUAAAUUCUUCCAGAAGAAGCUGCCCAUCUUGACAAGUCUGUUGUGAGUCCGUGCUCCACUGCACAGCCAGACCUGAAAGUGACGGGAACUGACAAACUCUCUGAACUUGUCCCCUUGGAUUUGUCUAAUGGGCCUUUUCCUGACACAGAUGAAAAAGUCAUUGACAGAAACAGACCAUUUACCAUGAACCUGAGCAGAGGUAUGAGCAGCGACAGAUGAAAUAGGGCUCGAAAUAAAGCUGGGAAAUCCAGGACACAUGUGAUGGGCCCAAGGAGACCUCCGCCUGGAGAAUCAGACAUGCAAUGGAUGGUAUUGGAAUUUGCAGCCCAAGUCACCUGUUUGGGGUGGAAGAAAGCCAAGUCCCAGAUUUCCUAUCUCUCACCCAACUUUACACCACAGAGAGGCUGCAGAGAGACAACUUAGGGAUCAGAGGUGGCUUUCAAACAGUCCACUCAGGUCCAAUGCCAAGUUAUCUUUUCAAGGGUUUUGAGAUAAAAGGGAGGUUGGGGAGGUGUUGCUUACAAAUUUACAGUCACUUAGAAAUUCUAUUCUGUUGGCAGCAAAAUUCAGGUUGAAGAAAGCUUUCCAAACAGAAGA